rnacentral:rRNA from 1 species
GACGAACGCUGGCGGCGUGCCUAACACAUGCAAGUCGAACGGGACCGGGGGCAACUCCGGUUCAGUGGCGGACGGGUGCGUAACACGUGAGGAACAUGACCUUGGCGGGGGAGUAGCUGGCCCAACGGCCGGGUAAUACCGCGUACGACCUUUCGGGGACAUCCUCGGAUGGUGAAAGCAGCAAUGCGCCGAUGGAGUGCCUCGCGGCCUAUCAGCUAGUUGGUGGGGUAACGGCCCACCAAGGCGACGACGGGUAGGCUGGUCUGAGAGGAUGGCCAGCCACAUUGGGACUGAGACACGGCCCAGACUCCUACGGGAGGCAGCAGUGGGGAAUAUUGCGCAAUGGGCGAAAGCCUGACGCAGCGACGCCGCGUGUGGGAUGACGGUCUU